CUCAGAAGUCAGAAGCAGCCCAUAAUUGGAAUCUAUCUAGAUCUAGAUCUAGAUUAAUUUCAAACUUUAAUUCAGAGCUAGAGCUCUCUAUGGCUGUUACUCCUACUAGUUAUAUAGUGAAUGGACAAUGGGGUCAGUGGUCAGUCUGGACCUGUAGCAAGCCUUGUGGUUUUGGGAAAAUAAUCAGGACAAGGCUAUGUGACAGCCCGAUCCCAAGCUUGGGUGGACUGAAUUGUCAACCUCCUAAAGACAAUAUACAGUCUAGUCCCGAUGACUGCAGGCUAUCAAUAUGUCCUGAAGAUUGUUGGCCGGGUACCUGGGGGGUCAACUGCAAGUUCAGGUGUAAUCAAUGUAAAAGCGACUGCAACAAGUUGAAUGGAAGAUGUGACACCUGCGAGCCGGGCUACUACAACCCGUCCUACGGGCCCUUCAAUUGUUCUACAGAAUGUCCAGCUAUGACCUAUGGCUUUGAAUGCCGGGGAUCGUGCUAUAGCAAGUGCAGCAAAGAAUGUUUGGACAAACAGCUGGGCACGUGUUCUACUUUGACUGGAGUUCCUUUCCUGGUGGCGACCUACCACUACUACUUCCUGGUGCUGCUCAUCAUUCCCGUGAUGACCGUCGUCUCAGAGCUGAUCAGGCUCAAGACAUCGGGCAGUGUGGAUGACGGCGAGGAUGUCCAGGACUAUUGGGGCUACCCUUUCUACCGUCGGGCCAGCGAGACCACAAGGAAGUUCUAUCCAGACGACCACUUGGAUGACUUCCGUGACGACGACGAUGAUUUGGAUGAUUUUGACAUCGACGAUCUGGAUUUGUAUGGAGAGGACUAUCUGGAUGAGGUUGAUGAUGUAAAAGUUGACCCACAGGUUGUGCCUAUGGAAGAACCGACCAAGCAGGUCGUCAUUAUUCCUCCUAUUAAAAAGGCAGGUCAAAUUAAGUGAAAUAAAGAAACGUUGGGGCAAUGGCCGAUACUGAAGUGUGACUGACAAUUAGGACACAACUAGUCAGAUUCUCUUUCAAAAUCUUUUGAAAAAUAAACGAGAGACAUGCCCCCCCCCCCCCGGAAAGGUCAAAGGCUACACAGUG